CCUACGGGAGGCAGCAGUGAGGAAUAUUGGUCAAUGGACGCAAGUCUGAACCAGCCAUGCCGCGUGAAGGAUGAAGGCGUUUGCGUUGUAAACUUCUUUUAUUGGGGAAGCGGUACCCAAGGAAUAAGCACCGGCUAACUCCGUGCCAGCAGCCGCGGUAAUACGGAGGGUGCAAGCGUUAUCCGGAUUUACUGGGUUUAAAGGGUGUGUAGGCGGACUAUUAAGUCAGCGGUGAAAUCUCCGGGCUCAACCCGGAAACUGCCAUUGAUACUAUUAGUCUUGAAUGUUGUUGAGGUGGGCGGAACGGGUCAUGUAGCGGUGAAAUGCAUAGAUAUGACCCGGAACACCGAUUGCGAAGGCAGCCCACUAAGCAACAUUGACGCUGAGGCACGAAAGCGUGGGGAUCAAACAGGAUUAGAUACCCUUGUAGUC
rnacentral:rRNA from 1 species